AGUUUGGGGUCGCUGCGAGGACGGCCACGCGCGGGCAUCUUGGUCUGCCCUGUGAACUUCGCUCAGACGAAAAGUUCAACCCGACACAGACGGGAAGUCUCCGGAAAUUACCUUUACUGACAAGAACAACACGUCGAGAACAUUAAGCGCAAACAUGUCAGCCCUAGCCAUUCGCCAGGUUCGGAAUAUUUGAAUAUUUGCUUUCGGGACCGACCGCGGCCGGUGGAGGUGGCCGCAGUGUCGGGGUUUCGCGGGAUGAGGGUCGCUCGAAGGCCCGUCGGUCCCUGCGACCCGGAGUGGGCGACCUGGAGACGGGGACCCAGGAGCCUUUGUCUCGGGUCCGCACCCGGUGCGUAGGCGCCGCCGGGAACUUGUGGGAUGAACGCGCGACGACACUUGCGCGUUUAGUAAGUGUAUUGGGAACAUUGUUUCGUUUACUCCUUCCCACGACCCUUGUGAGUGGGAAUUAAUAUCCCCAUUUCAUGGGUGGAGUAACAGGUCCCAGCGGAUGAAAUGACCUGCCCGGUGUCACACAGCCUGAAAGAGGCAGCGCGGGGGUUUGAACCCAGCCCGUCCUCCGCCAGGGCUGGGGCUCCGCCACCACUUGUUCGCCGAAAGCCUGUGUCGAAAUCGGGCGUCCGCCCGUCCAUCGCCAAGGUUCCCUUCGGAGGUCCGGGGGGCCCGGGGGCCCUCGGGCUGAGCUGGAUUCGCGGCGAGUACUCCCAAGGCUGAGCUGUCAAACUCAUUCCUCAGUUUCCAGUAUUUUUCUGCGCACUUACUAUGCGCCUAUCCACAUUUUUAAAAAUUAAUUAAUUAAUUUUAGAGAAGCAAGAGCAGGACACAGCCAACAAAUGGCUCAGAUUCCUCGUGCUCUCUGUGGUGUAACUGAGCGCUGAUGGGAGGUGUCACGCUGGUCCUGGGUGUGCAGUUUUUGGCCAUUCGAAAUGUGUAUAAUGAAAAAAUUUAAAAUAUGGAUUUGAGUGCCAACUAUGUACUCAUCACGGAGCUAAGGCAAAAAUCUAAUGUGGUCCUUAUCUCCCUGAAACAUGGAGUGUGUCAGGGGAGAGAACCUACGUGGAAGGUUAUCUUCUCUGAAAAGACUUCCCUCCUCAAGGUCACCCUGUCUGGACGAUGGUCAUUCCUCUGUUGCUACUUCUCAAAUGAGCCGGAGCACCCAUCUCUCCCACCAGACUGUGUCUCCGUCAUUUCUGAGGUUCCAGGGCCUGGCCUGGGGCUGGCUACAAGGUGGAUGCUCAGUGACUCUGGAUAAAUAGAUGAAUGGGCUCCUUGUAAACAUGUGAAGAAGGUAUAGCAGGAGGGCAAGUCUGGAAUAAUUCCUGGGGAUGUGGAGUAGGGAUGGGAAAAGGGAAGAAACAGGAGAAGGGGAAAAGGCUAAGCUACUGCCAAGAGCACUUGCAUUUAUCAAGGGCGUCAUGGACCAGGCGCUAAACACGGGGUUCUCAUUUACUCCUCACUGCAUCCCCGGGAGGAACACUGUCUGCUUGAAUAUAACCUGGCUCCCCCUAGUUUACUAGAAUGUAAGCUUCUGGGUGGGGGGUUUGUUUGUCUUGCUCACCACUGUGCCUCCAACACUAGCUAGGCACGUAGAUAGAUAGGGCUGCCAGGUGAAAUGCAGGACGCCCAGUUAAAUUUGAAUUACAGAGAAACAAUAAAUACUUUUUAGCAUAAAUAUGUUCUGUAUUUCUUGGGCUAAAUUUGGCAAUCCCGUGCAUAGUAGAUGUUUAAUAAAUGUUAUUGAAUAAACAUUACUUAAUUACA